GUCUACGGCCAUACCACCCCGAACGCGCCCGAUCUCGUCUGAUCUCGGAAGCUAAGCAGGGUCGGGCCUGGUUUGUACUUGGAUGGGAGAAAGUUAAGGAAAUUUUCAAGGUACCACAGUUA
rnacentral:rRNA from 1 species